rnacentral:misc_RNA from 1 species
AAUAUAAGCGCGCACGCGCCAAACCCUCGAUACCCGCACCAGAGGUGACCCUUCCCCUUUCCUCUGUACCCUGGCUCUUGCCUGUUCCUCGCAGCGGGCACACCUCUCACAGCCACUGAGUUUUUAUCACACGCCACCUUCACACACACACACACACACACCACCACCACCACCACCACCACCACCACCGAGAAACGCGAUCACUGCCCGCGACCGCCGCGCUCUAGGCACGCCCGUCACGAACUGUCAUUAAGCUAUCUUCGCUACCGCUGCCUCUUCGUCCCCUUCUGGGGUUGUGUUUGCCGUGCUUCAGGAUGUUGCUCACCAAGGAAGAGGUCCAGACCAUCACUCUCAACGCCAAGUCGGUGCACAAGUACGCGGAUCAGGCGUUCUUCCCUGCUGAAAUCAACGAAGCCGGCAAGCGCAUCGGCGAUCAGCCGUUUCUCAACUUCUUUGUGCGCUACCAUCACCGUCAUGCGCCGGAGCAGUACUCGUGGUCGCGCUUGCGUCGCGUGCUGCUGCUCGAGGACGUAAUGGCAGCGCACAAGUCGAGCACAGCUCCCGUUGUGACCUCCCCGACGAUUGAGUGGCGCGGAAAGAUAUUCUGGGUCUGCUUCGCUGUGGAGCCGGUGCAGCCACGGUCGUCCUCGUCCGCGGCGCCUAACGACACAGUGAAGGAGGAGAUAGUGACGCUGCCGCAGCUGUCGAACACGGUUCCAACGGAGGACGAGGUUUUAGCCUUCUGCGUGGCUAGCGCGAACCAACGACCGACAGAGGUGUACGCGGAUGGAGUUCUCGGCGAGGCACCCGCGGCGCCGCCGGUUUUGCUUGAGUCCGGGGAAGUGGCGUCGGCAACCCAGCCGGUCGCGCAAGACCCUCUGCCGCAACCGGAGGGUGUGGAGGGCGUCAAUCAGGCGCCGCCGGCGGCGGCGCUCAACCCGCGCGCGUUUGUGCCGACCCCUCGGCAGGUGGAGUUACUUCGUCAAUACAAGAAGCAGCACCUGGCGCAGCAUCAGUGGACUGAGGAUGAGAUUGAAGAGUCGAAGGUGCUGCGGCAGCGGUACUGCACCUUGGGUGUAGCGACGGCACCUGUGCGCGCCGUCACCUACAUUCAGCACCACCGUGUUGAAGAGCGCAAGCAGCAAAGGCAUGCGCUCGGGACGUCCUCGUUUGCUGGUGCCGCGGCGCGGGAUCUGAACGCGUCACAGGCUGCCGAGCUGGACCUGUCGGAGGAGCCAGUAUUCAGUAUGGCCGCAGAAAGCGCCGACGUCUUUGCUGUGACACACACGCAACGCUCGACCCUCUCUGCAGUCGCGCCAUCAUCACCAUCCGCGGCCACAUCUACGACAAAUACACCGCUAUCACCAUUUCUGCCACGAAGCGUGCUGCGUGCUCAGCAGCAGCAGCACGCAUCCGCCUCACGCGCCUUGAAUCAGCAUGCCCCUGCCGAAGAGCCGUCUUCGGUAUUAAUCCUCGGCGACGGUGCGCCAGCGUCCUCCUCGCAGCUGUCCGUGUCGCAAACACCACCGCCCGAGACGCAAGCGCAGGCGAGCCUGCAGCCCGGAUCCUUGACGGCGCUGUCCCAGCAUCUGUCACAGCUCCGUGAAGCCGAGGAGUCCUUUUAUCAAUACAUCAGCGAGGAGUCCCGCAGCGCCUACCUGAACCGACUCGCCGACAUAACGAAGCGCAACAGCGAGACAAACACGCGCAAUCGCCGUCGCGGCAUCGCCAACGAGCGGCGUCUGGAGCGAAAGGGUAAUCUCCUGGAGUCGUGCGGCCUGUGGAUCACUGAUGACAAGGAGCGGGCGAGCAAGGCAGAGGACUACGUCAAGGCGCAGGCAGGCGACUCCAGCAGCACUAGAAAGAACGACGAGAGUACCACAGUCGCCAGCGCGGUAGCCGGCGGCGGCGCUGCCGGCGACGGUGCUGACACUGCAAAGAGCACCGAAGACGUGUUCGUGGAGCGGUUCAAGGCGUACUACGACGCGCAGCGGAUUACCUUCGCGGACUGCGCUGAUUCGGAUCUGUUUGCCGACGGCAAUGACGCGGACAUCGGCCCCCUCUUGCAUGCAGCCGCAGCCGUAUUCGAUGUCAGCCCAGAGUCUGGCAAGGCUCACCCACCGAGCAGCGCUGGCGCCGUGACGGAGGCGAUGCGCCUCGGCCGUCGUCCUGUGCGGCGUCUUUUGCCCAAUCGGCUUCGCACCGAGGAGAGCACGCCUGCGUUGGUGCAGGCGCAGCUGUUGCAUCGCAGUACUGUGCGUAUGGCGAAGCGCGCGCGAGAGGAGUGACGCGCGUGCCGUUGAUACCCGAGCGUGCAACAGCACCGCCGUCAUGGGCUGUUUGGCCCUUUAAGCACUGUGAGCGCCUCUGCAGGGUGUGCGUGUGUGUCUGUACCCCUUCCCUCUCGCGGCUCUGCGAUUGUAUGCGCCUCUCUCGCCUCUUUUGGGUUGCGUGGUGCCGUUCUGACGCUGUUCUGCGUUGUACGUAUGUGUCGUAAGGACGUCGUUGCGUGUCAAGAUGGGGGGAGGGGGCAGAGAACGAGCUGUGCGUGCGUGUCUGUGUAUGUGCGUGUCCUUGAGAUUCCGCCGGAGGAAGGCACCAACAUGUGUGGUGGUCGUGGUGGUAGGGGGAAUGGGGCUGAGACCGCAAAUAAAGAAGGGGGAAAGCGAAAAGGUUGAAGAAAAACGUCAUGUGCGCUUUUCAGCAAGACUUGCAGGCAGGAGACCAAGAACCGCGCGCGCGUAGUCUCAGUUGCCGAACAGCCCGUGCGCAUUCAGUGAACUGGCCUUUGAG